rnacentral:lncRNA from 1 species
UAGUGUACUCAUCUGGACCUAGUCCACACAUAAUCCAUUUCUUAGCCUUAGCAUUUUUCUUCCACUUCUUCAGGUCUUCAACAGUACAGUCAGCCCUUGUCUUCAGCAUAUCCACUCUUUCUUCAUUCUUCUUUAUAGUUGCUAGAGAACCAUCAGUGACUAUGUCCUAGAUUUCAUAAUCUUCUCCUGUAAUGUGAUCCCUCGUCAUGUUCUUUUACCAAGAAUAGUAUUGUCCAUUGA